rnacentral:rRNA from 1 species
GACGAACGCUGGCGGCGUGCCUAAUACAUGCAAGUAGAACGCUGAAGGAGGAGCUUGCUCUUCUGGAUGAGUUGCGAACGGGUGAGUAACGCGUAGGUAACCUGCCUGGUAGCGGGGGUAAAUAUUUGGAACAAUUGGUUAUAACGCAUAAGGAUAGAUUUUUCCUGACAUUUACUUAAAAAGUGCCAUUGCAUCCCUAACAGGUGGACCUGCGUUGGAUUAGCUAGUUGGUGGGGUAACGGCUUACCAAGGCGACGAUACAUAGCCGACCUGAGAGGGUGAUCGGCCACACUGGGACUGAGACACGGCCCAGACUCCUACGGGAGGCAGCAGUAGGGAAUCUUCGGCAAUGGACGGAAGUCUGACCGAGCAACGCCGCGUGAGUGAAGAAGGUUGUCGGAUCGUAAAGCUCGGUUGUAAGAGAAGAACGAGUGUGAGAGUGGAAAGUUCACACUGUGACGGUAGCUUACCAGAAAGGGACGGCUAACUACGUG